CUUCCUACUGGACGCAGCAGUGGGGGAUAUUGCACAAUGGGGGAAACCCUGAUGCAGCGACGCCGCGUCGGUGAAGAAGCGCCUCAGCGCGUAAAGCCCUGUCAGCAGGGAAGAAAAUGACGGUACCUGAAGAAGAAGCCCCGGCUAACUACGUGCCAGCAGCCGCGGUAAUACGUAGGGGGCAAGCGUUCUCCGGUUUUACUGGGUGUAAAGGGGUCGCAGACGGCGAUGCAAGCCAGGAGUGAAAGCCCGGGGCCCAACCCCGGUACUUCUCUUGGCAAUGC
rnacentral:rRNA from 1 species